GAGGAGAAAUGGUUUUUAUUUGUUUUAUUUUCAGCUACACAGCCUGGUAAACACACAACAGGAAAAGGAAAUGAUUUGUAGACUCCAGUCUGGGGAUGUCAUUAGUUAUAAAGCUGGUAUCUCUCCAUGGUUUACAGAGAGAAUGUUUGCAAAAUGAAAAUGUGGACAAAAGGGAAUAUUUUAAAGCUUGUAAAAAGAAUGCAAAUAUGCAUGUUUUGCAAAAGUUUAUCGAAACUUCCUGUGUGACCUGACCAUGCAUGCCAAUUGGUUAGAAGGAAACCCACUGGUGAAGGCAGCACGAACGGAAACUUAUCUUCUCUGCAGCUUUGAUGGCAUCUUCUUGCAGGCUGGAAGAUCUCGCUUGAUUUUGGAGAGCCUGCUGGAUGCGUAAUCGUCCCCGUCGCUGAGCAGCUGCAUGGCCGACCUUAGGCGCUCCUCCUUCGCUUCUCGGACGUGUUUCCAUCCCGUGUAAACCAUCAUGCCGAAGACCAGCAGGCUGGUGCUCACCCGGAACUGCUGUUGUCACAAUAAUAGAAGCAACAGCGGGUGGACCAGAUGCUCAGAGGAAUCCGACAGAUCAAGUCCUUGAACAAAUACGAACACGGGGCCGCAUAAACAUCCUGCUCUGACUACAGGUGCAGAACCCACCUGCUCUGCUCCCCAUUCUCACACGACGAGGUAGUCAAUGUAGAUGAUUGUAGCCUUGGAAGAGUUUUGAAAUAAGCAUUAAAAUGUCUUUUAAAGCAUCAAUAGUAAAGGCAGCAUGUGGGUUUCUCAAGCUGAUUA